CAGGAUAASGCKAGCGGCAGGCAAGACAUGCAAGUUGAACGAGAUUAGUUUUAGCAAUAGAACUAGUUUAGUGGCGCACGGGUGCUAACGCGUAUGCAACCUACCUUAAACAGGGGAAUAGCCUCUCGAAAGAGAGAUUAAUACCGCAUAACAUAUAUUUAGAGCAUUCUAGAUAUAUCAAACCUACGGGGGUUUAAGAUGGGCAUGCGUGACAUUAGCUAGUUGGUGAGGUAACGGCUCACCAAGGCAACGAUGUCUAGGGGGUCUGAGAGGAUGUCCCCCCACACUGGUACUGAGACACGGACCAGACUCCUACGGGAGGCAGCAGUAGGGAAUAUUGGUCAAUGGAGGCAACUCUGAACCAGCCAUGCCGCGUGCAGGACUAAGGCCCUAUGGGUCGUAAACUGCUUUUGAAUGGGAAGAAAUGUAUCUACGUGUAGAUAUUUGACGGUACCAUUAGAAUAAGGAUCGGCUAACUUCGUGCCAGCAGCCGCGGUAAUACGAAGGAUCCAAGCGUUGUCUGGAUUUACUGGGUUUAAAGGGUGCGUAGGCGGACUCAUAAGUCAGUGGUGAAAGCCUUCAGCUUAACUGAAGAACUGCCAUUGAAACUGUGAGUCUCGAGUUCGGUUGAGGUCAUUGGAAUGUAACAUGUAGCGGUGAAAUGCAUAGAUAUGUUACAGAACACCAAUUGCGAAGGCAGAUGACUAAACCGAAACUGACGCUGAGGCACGAAAGCGUGGGGAUCAAACAGGAUUAGAUACCCUGGUAGUCCACGCCCUAAACGUUGAAUACUCGACCUUAGCGAUAUACAGUUAGGGUCCAAGCGAAAGCGUAAGUAUUCCACCUGGGAAGUACGUUCGCAAGAAUGAAGCUCAAAGGAAUUGACGGGGGCCCGCACAAGGCAGGGAGCAUGUGGUUUAAUUCGAUGAUACGCGAGGACCUUACCUGGGCUUGAAUGUGAGUGACCGGUGCUGAAGGUACUUUCCUUCGGGGCACAAAACAAGGUGCUGCAUGGCUGUCGUCAGCUCGUGCCGUGAGUGUUGGGUUAAGUCCGCAACGAGCGCAACCCUA
rnacentral:rRNA from 1 species